rnacentral:rRNA from 1 species
GGGGAUAACUAUUGGAAACGAUAGCUAAUACCGCAUAACAAUGGAUGACACAUGUCAUUUAUUUGAAAGGGGCAAUUGCUCCACUACAAGAUGGACCUGCGUUGUAUUAGCUAGUAGGUGAGGUAACGGCUCACCUAGGCGACGAUACAUAGCCGACCUGAGAGGGUGAUCGGCCACACUGGGACUGAGACACGGCCCAGACUCCUACGGGAGGCAGCAGUAGGGAAUCUUCGGCAAUGGGGGCAACCCUGACCGAGCAACGCCGCGUGAGUGAAGAAGGUUUUCGGAUCGUAAAGCUCUGUUGUAAGUCAAGAACGAGUGUGAGAGUGGAAAGUUCACACUGUGACGGUAGCUUACCAGAAAGGGACGGCUAACUACGUGCCAGCAGCCGCGGUAAUACGUAGGUCCCGAGCGUUGUCCGGAUUUAUUGGGCGUAAAGCGAGCGCAGGCGGUUUGAUAAGUCUGAAGUUAAAGGCUGUGGCUCAACCAUAGUUCGCUUUGGAAACUGUCAAACUUGAGUGCAGAAGGGGAGAGUGGAAUUCCAUGUGUAGCGGUGAAAUGCGUAGAUAUAUGGAGGAACACCGGUGGCGAAA